UACGUAGGGGGCAAGCGUUGUCCGGAAUCAUUGGCGUAAAGCGCGUGUAGGCGGCCAGAAAAGUCCGCUGUGAAAACUCGAGGCUCAACUUCGAGCUGUCGGUGGAAACUUUCUGGCUAGAGUCCGGAAGAGGAGAAUGGAAUUCCUGGUGUAGCGGUGAAAUGCGCAGAUAUCAGGAAGAACACCCGUGGCGAAGGCGGUCUCUGGGACGGUACUGACGCUGAGACGCGAAAGCGUGGGGGGAGCGAACAGGA
rnacentral:rRNA from 1 species